rnacentral:lncRNA from 1 species
UUAAAAUUUAGUUUCAUAUUUUAAAUUAUCCACUCAACUUCAAAGUUUAAUUUUUUUUAAAAAAAAAUUUAUUUAAAAUUUUGACAUUAUUUCAAAAUUUUGAUGUACAUUUUUAAUAUUUAAUUUUUAAUUUGUAUUUAAAUUAAUAUAUUAUAAAGAUAAUGUUAAUAUAUUAAUUUGAUUACGCUUUUUAUAUCCACCUGAACCAAACACCGAUAAUGGGAAUAAUUUAUUCUGAUUCCGAUUCAGGUGAUGAACCAAACAAAAUUAGGUAAUGAGUCAUUCUAAUUCCGAUUUCAGCUUAUUUUGAUUCCGAUUCCGAUUUCGACUCCGACUUCAAACCAAACACGCCCUUAGUUAGAAAUGUGAAUCAACUAGUAUUCGAACUUGGGUCUCGGAUACCAGCCACCAAGCCCUUUGCCACUUGCUAUAGAAACAGUCGGUGAAAAAUAGAAUAGCUACAGUUCUAAAGACAUCGACUUCCUAUCAAUCAAAUAAAUAAUAAUAGCAGAAGUGUCAUCUCUAUUUUGAAAAUCAGUUACGGACAAACAAACAGAC